AGGGUUUGAUCCUGGCUCAGGGUGAACGCUGGCGGCGUGCCUAACACAUGCAAGUCGAUCGGAGCAGCAAUGCUUAGAGGCGAACGGGUGAGGAAAACGUAGUAACCAACCCUUUAGACUGGGAUAGCCACUGGAAACGGUGGGUAAUACCGGAUAAGCUCGAGAGAGGAAAGGCAGAGAAGCGCUAAAGGACGGAACUGCGCCCCAUCAGAUAGUUGGUGAGGUAAAGGCUUACCAAGUCAAAGACGGGAAACCGACGUGAGAGCGUGUACGGUCACAAGGGCACUGAGAGACGGGCCCUACUCCUACGGGAGGCAGCAGUGGGGAAUAUUGGACAAUGGACGAAAGUCUGAUCCAGCGACGCCGCGUGGAGGAAGAAGUCCUUCGGGAUGUAAACUCAUGAAGCUAACGAAUAAGACGGAAGGGGAACCUUCCGGGAGAAGGUAAUUAGUGAAAAGCCCCGGCUAACUACGUGCCAGCAGCCGCGGUAAUACGUAGGGGGCGAGCGUUGCCCGGAAUUACUGGGCGUAAAGGGAACGUAGGUGGCUCUUAAAGUCAGGUGUGAAAAUAACGAAGCUUAACAGGUUAAUGCGCUUGAAACUAAAGGGCUUGAGGGCAAUAGAGGGAGAUGGAAUUACCUGUGUAGGGGUGAAAUCCGCAGAUAUAGGUAAGAAGGCCGGUGGGGAAGCCGAUCUCCUGGGUUGACUCUGACACUGAGGUUCGAAAGCUAGGGGAGCAAACCGGAUUAGAUACCCGGGUAGUCCUAGCCGUAAACGAUGCUCACUGGGUGUGGGUCGAAAAGAUCUGUGCUGAAGCUAACGCGAUAAGUGAGCCGCCUGGGGAGUACGUCCGCAAGGAUGAAACUCAAAGGAAUUGACGGGGGUCCGCACAAGCGGUGGAGCAUGUGGUUUAAUUCGAUGCUAACCGAAGAACCUUACCAGGGUUGGACAUUGUGAUGGUAGUUGGUAGAGAUAUCAGCGACUUCUGCGAAUGCAGGAGAGUUACAAUCAGGUGGUGCACGGUCGUCGUCAGCUCGUGCCGUGAGGUGUUGGGUUAAGUCCC
rnacentral:rRNA from 1 species